AAAUUUACGACAAAAUAAAACUGUCUGUCAAAAUGGUUCAACAUUAUGAUCAGUAUGUGAGAAUAUCCAGUUUUAAAAGUACAUAGUUAUUACAAAACAACAAAAAGCAGAUGGCUUCUCGACAUUUCAAUGACAUAAAAAAUGUAAACAAACAUGAUUUUUUCACAAAUUCGACUAGAAAAACUACUUUAAUACGAAUAAGGGCA
rnacentral:lncRNA from 1 species